rnacentral:rRNA from 1 species
GUCGAACGGAAAGGCCCUGCUUUGUGGGGUGCUCGAGUGGCGAACGGGUGAGUAACACGUGAGUAACCUGCCCUUGACUUUGGGAUAACUUCAGGAAACUGGGGCUAAUACCGGAUAGGAGCUCCUGCUGCAUGGUGGGGGUUGGAAAGUUUCGGCGGUUGGGGAUGGACUCGCGGCUUAUCAGCUUGUUGNUGGGGUAGUGGCUUACCAAGGCUUUGACGGGUAGCCGGCCUGAGAGGGUGACCGGCCACAUUGGGACUGAGAUACGGCCCAGACUCCUACGGGAGGCAGCAGUGGGGAAUAUUGCACAAUGGGCGGAAGCCUGAUGCAGCAACGCCGCGUGCGGGAUGACGGCCUUCGGGUUGUAAACCGCUUUCGCCUGUGACGAAGCGUGAGUGACGGUAAU